UACGAAGGGGGCUAGCGUUGUUCGGAAUUACUGGGCGUAAAGCGCAUGUAGGCGGUCCUACAAGCCAGAGGUGAAAUCCCGGAGCUCAACUUCGGAAUUGCCUUUGGAACUGUAGGACUGGAGUAUCGGAGGGGAUGGUGGAAUUCCAAGUGUAGAGGUGAAAUUCGUAGAUAUUUGGAGGAACACCGGUGGCGAAGGCGGCCAUCUGGACGAUUACUGACGCUGAGAUGCGAAAGCGUGGGGAGCAAACAGG
rnacentral:rRNA from 1 species